UACGGAGGGUGCAAGCGUUGUUCGGAAUUACUGGGCGUAAAGAGCGUGUAGGCGGCUGAUCAAGUCGGGUGUGAAAGCCCGGGGCUUACCCCCGGAAGUGCGCUCGAAACUGGUCAGCUAGAGUAUGGGAGAGGGAAGUGGAAUUCCUGGUGUAGCGGUGAAAUGCGUAGAGAUCAGGAGGAACACCGGCGGCGAAGGCGGCUUCCUGGACCAAUACUGACGAUGAAACGCGAAAGCGUGGGGAGCAAACAGG
rnacentral:rRNA from 1 species